rnacentral:lncRNA from 1 species
CUGCCCGCUAGACAGGUACACCUUACAAUCAUUCCAUACAACAAAUAUAGUAGACCUAUUGCAUAUAGUAUGAGAAAAACAGACCAAAACACAAAAAUUUAACUAUAACCACUGAACCAUGAAAAUGAGGUCAAGGUCAAAUGACAACUGCCAGUUGGACAUGUACACCUUACAGUCCUUCCAUACACCGAAUAUACUAGCCCUAUUGUUU